rnacentral:rRNA from 1 species
UGAGGAAUAUUGGUCAAUGGGCGCAAGCCUGAACCAGCCAUCCCGCGUGCAGGAAGACGGCCCUAUGGGUUGUAAACUGCUUUUCCAGGGAGAGAAACUUGCGUACGCGUUGCGCAGAUGACGGUACCAUGGGAAUAAGAACCGGCUAACUCCGUGCCAGCAGCCGCGGUAAUACGGAGGAUGCGAGCGUUAUCCGGAUUCAUUGGGUGUAAAGGGUGCGGAGGCGGACUAUUAAGUCAGUGGUGAAAUCCUGCAGCUUAACUGCAGAACUGCCAUUGAUACUGAUAGCCUUGAGUUUGGUUAAGGUAGGCGGAAUGUGUAAUGUAGCGGUGAAAUGCUUAGAUAUUACACAGAACACCAAUUGCGUAGGCAGCUUACUGGGCCGACACUGACGCUGAGGCACGAAAGCGUGGGGAUCGAACA